rnacentral:tRNA from 1 species
GCCGAAGUGGCGGAACUGGCAGANNAAUUGGCAGACACGCACGGUUCAGGGCCGUGUGGGCGCAAGCCCGUGCGGGUUCGACUCCCGCCUUCGGCACCA